CCAGUCAUAUGCUUGUCUCAAAGAUUAAGCCAUGCAUGUCUGAGUACAGACCGAUCUAAGGUGAAACCGCGAAUGGCUCAUUAAAUCAGUCAUAAUUCCUUGGAUAGUGAAAAACUUUCCUCGGAUAACUGUGGAAAAUCCAGAGCUAAUACGUGCAACUGAGCUCCGACCUAGGCGCAAGCCUUGGGAAGAGCGCAUUUGUUAGAUUCAAAACUGACCGGCGUACUCCUUCGGGAUACGCCGCUCGUUAAAAUUUGAUGACUCAGGACAACUAAGUCGAGCGCUCCGGUCUUUAGUACCGGCGCCGUAUCUUUCAAGUGUCUGCCUUAUCAGCUUUCGAUUGUAGGUUAAACGCCUACAAUGGCUGUAACGGGUAACGGGGAAUCAGGGUUCGAUUCCGGAGAGGGAGCCUGAGAAACGGCUACCACAUCUAAGGAAGGCAGCAGGCACGCAAAUUACCCACUCCCAGCCCGGGGAGGUAGUGACGAAAAAUAACGAUGCGAGACUCUUCCGAGGCCUCGCAAUCGGAAUGAGUCCAUUUUAAAUCCUUGGACGAGGAUCCAUUGGAGGGCAAGUCUGGUGCCAGCAGCCGCGGUAAUUCCAGCUCCAAUAGCGUAUAUUAAAGUUGCUGCGGUUAAAAAGCUCGUAGUUGGACUUUCUAGAUCCAUUUCGUGGUCGAGUCGCUCUUUGUACUAGCGUCUCGCGCAGUUCCUUGAUAAAGUCGUCGUGCGCGCUCGUGCGUACUUCUCUAUUCGGCUUUCGGGUCGUUUGAGAGGUUGCGCUCGUGGUGUCGUCGACGUUCUAGAAUCUUGCGGGCGGCGAGUCGUUGUCUUAGAGUAUAGCUCGUCCGCGUUUGGUACAAUUAAAAUUUUGUCGGCUCGCUCGGAGUGCUCUUUACCGAGUGUUCCAGGGUGGCUGACACGUUCACUUUGAAAAAAUUAGAGUGCUUAAAGCGGGCUUAUUUACGGCCUGAAUGUCUGUGCAUGGAAUGAAGUAACAGGACCUCGAUUCUGUUGUUUUUGUCGGUUUUAUUGAACCGAGGUAAUGAUUAAAAGGGACAGACGGUGGCAUUAGUAUUGCGACGCUAGAGGUGAAAUUCUUGGACCGUCGCAAGACUAACUACUGCGAAAGCAUUUGCCAAGAAUGUUUUCAUUAAUCAAGAACGAAAGUUAGAGGAUCGAAGGCGAUCAGAUACCGCCCUAGUUCUAACCCUAAACUAUGCUAACUAGCGAUCCGCCGGAGUCAUUCCCACGACCCGGCGGGAAGCCCCAGGGAAACCAAAGUCUUUGAGUUCCGGGGGAAGUAUGGUUGCAAAGCUGAAACUUAAAGGAAUUGACGGAAGGGCACCACCAGGAGUGGAGCCUGCGGCUUAAUUUGACUCAACACGGGAAACCUCACCAGGCCCGGACAUCAUAAGGAUUGACAGGUUGAGAGCUCUUUCUCGAUUUGAUGGGUGGUGGUGCAUGGCCGUUCUUAGUUGGUGGAGUGAUCUGUCUGGUUGAUUCCGAUAACGAACGAGACUCUACCCUACUAACUAGUCGGCGGAUCGUAACCCUGAGAUGGUUAGUUCGUAUAGGAGGGUUUUGCCCAAAGCAAUGUCCGAUCGAUCAGAGGUGCGUAUCAUUAGCUUUCUAUAGCGAAGGGUCGUGCUUCCAGAGGUCGUGGCUUUGUCGAAGCGGCCUUCUGAUUACUGCUACUACAGCUGGGGGCGUCCGUCGCAAUGUAUCUUCUUAGAGGGAUCAGCGGCGUAUAGCCGCACGAGAAAGAGCAAUAACAGGUCUGUGAUGCCCUUAGAUGUUCUGGGCCGCACGCGCGCUACAAUGUAGGGCUCAGCGUGCUUUCCCUCUCCGAAAGGAGCGGGUAACCCGUUGAAACCCCUACCCGAUUGGGAUUGGGGAUUGCAAUUAUUUCCCAUAAACGAGGAAUUCCCAGUAAGCGCGAAUCAUUAAUUCGCGCUGAUUACGUCCCUGCCCUUUGUACACACCGCCCGUCGCUACUACCGAUUGAAUGAUUCAGUGAGGGCAUCGGACUGGCCCUUCGGUUUAGUAACCUAGACCUUAGGCUGACGGAAAGAUGUCCGAACUUGAUCAUUUAGAGAAGUAAAAGUCGUAACAAGGUUUCCGUAGUGAACCUG
rnacentral:rRNA from 1 species